rnacentral:misc_RNA from 1 species
UGCCCGCCUGUGGAGCAUGC